AACCCAUUAUCUGGGCAUUGCCUUUUCUCCACAAAAGGCUUUACUUUACACUUUUGAGAAAUGGAAAGAGAUCUAAAUUGGGAAGAGGGAAAGUUACCUAUUUUGCAAAAUAAGUGGCUGUCUUUAAGGUAUCAGCAGAAGUUUUGGAAUAAGAUGUUUUAUUUAAAAUAUUUGACUGCUGUUUUGGUGGUGGUUUUUUUUUUAACCCCCUUGGUAACAUGGUCAUAAUUUAUUUGUUAACUUUUAGUUACAUAUAACUUAAGGAAAAUUGGGGAGCAGAAGGAGAAGGUGUUUCUCGUAUCUCUUAGUUCAGCUACCAAUCAAAAUGCUUAUUACGUUUUAGCCCUAGAUAUACAGCAAAUUAAGAAAGAAGAGAAAAAAAGCUCAUGUUUUUACAAUUCAUCCUCACUCAUUCUGGAGGCUAGGAAUAGAACUGGGUGAGCAGGAAGCUCUCUAGCUCUCCACCAUUUUGGGUUUCUUAAUUUGGGUUGAAGUAUUGAGAAUUUUCAGAUUUGACAUUUAUUCAAUACCUACUCUAUACCAAGAGCUACCGAGAUGGUAGGGAUACAGCAGUCAACUCUUCUGUACCUAGUGGUCUUCUAACUCUCUCUUGAACAUAGAGGAGUCCCCCGUUAUCCAUGGGGAAUAUGUUCCAAGACCCCCAGCAGAUGCCUGAAAUGAAUUCUAAUACACUGUGUUUUUUUCUUAUAUAUAUGUACCUAUGAUAAAGUUUAAUUUAUAAGUUAGGCACAGUAAGAGAUUAACAACAAUAACUUUUAAUAGAACAAUUAUAACUAUAUACUGUUAACAGUGUCACAGACAGGAGAUUCAUUCUUAUUGUAGAUCUUAUCAACCUCAGCAUACAGUUUUUUGUUUUUUGUUUUCUUAUUAAGUUGAGAACUUUCACCUUUUCAUUAAAAGGAAGCACUUUAUGACUUCUCUUUGUCAUAUUCAAAUUGCCAGUAUCACCACUCUCACACUUUGGGGCCAUUAUGUAAAAUAUGGAUUGCUUGAGCACAAGUACUGCAACACUGUGGGUUGAUCUGAUAACUGAGACUGCUGCUAAGUGACUGAGGCCAGCUGCCGUAUACAACUUGGGUACACUGGACAAAGAGAUGAUUCAUGUCCUGGGCAGGAUGGAGUGUGACAGUGUAAGAUUUCUUCAUGCCACCCAGAAUGGCAUGCAAUUUAAAAACUUACGGAUUAUUUCUGGAAUUUUUCAUGUAAUAUUUUUCGGACUCUGGUUGACUGCAGAUAACUGAAACCCCAGAAAAUGAAACUGUGGAGUAGGAGGGAUCACUGUACACCAAUUUUUUUGUUUUCAUCACUCCACUGAAGCUACCUUUAUCAAAGUCACCAAAUCCAGUGGUUACUUCUCAAUCCUUAACUUACUCAUCAGCAGCUUUAACUUAGGGGAUCACUGUCUCCUACUGAAAAUACUUUCACUUGGCUUCUGGGAUGCCUCACUGGUCUGUCUAGUGAGGUGAAGGGACUUCCCUACCUCUUAAUGUUGGCACGCCUUAGGGCUGUUUUCAGCCCUAUUCUCUUUUCUCUCUGCCCCCACACCUAGGAGAUAUCUUUUAGUUCCAUAGUUUUAAAUAUUAGAUUUACACCUUCAGCCCCAACUUGCCCCCAAAUGGCAGACUUAUAAUUAUGAUUGCCCACGCGACAUCUUGACUUGAAGUCUAAUGGUCAUCUCAUACUUAACAUGUCCAAAAUAGGUCUCAGUUUUGCCGCUCACAACUUGUUUCGUCACCAGUCAGCCCCAGAUUUGUAAAUGGCACACUACUCAUUUAGUUGCUUUGGCCAAGAACCUAAGAAUUGUCCAUGAUUUCUUCCUCAUUCCUCAUAUCUAAUCCAUCAGCAAGUUAUACUGGAUCAGCCAUCAAAAUAUAUCCAUACUGACCAUGUCUCAUCCCAUUACCCUACUGCUUUGGUCCAGGCCAUCACUGUUUCAAGACCUCAGUACCUUUGUAUCCCUUUAGAAUAAAUUUAGAAUCCCUGCAUGGACCUGUAAGGCGCUUAUGACCUGGGCCCACCCACCUCUUCCAUGCCAUCUGCUGCUCUCCCCUUGCUCGUUCCAGUCUCACCACACUGGUCUUAUUCUGGCACAUUCCAAGCUUAGUGCCACCUCAAGGCCUCUUUGCUUGAUAUUCCCCCUACCUAGACUGUUCUCUCUUACCUUUCUCUGGCCAACUCCCGUACUUCACUCAGGUCUCUGCUCAAAUAGCACUUCCUCAGAGUCUUCCCCUCACUAAAACUAUCAUCUCUUCCCACCUUACUAUUGCUCUACUCCUCUUUCCUUUACUUUUCUUCAUCACACUUAAAAGUAGAGGUGUGUGUGUUGUGUGCUUGUGUUUCUCCACUAAAAGUAUGUUUUUGUUUAAAAAUUUUUAGUCUUUGUCUUCCAUAUCAAAGAAGGAUAGAGACUUCAUCCAUUAUACUCACUGCUAAAUCCUCGGUGCCUAGAACAGUGCCUGGCACAUAAUAGAGGCUCAAUAAUUACUGAAUGAAAGAACAAAAGACCCAAGAAAGACCAGCAAAUAAAUCCAGUUUCAGUGCAGUGUGGAAGUGCUUUGAGGAAAUCCACAAGAGGUGUAAAAACAAGUCUAGCUGUCAAGAAUCUCAUCCAGAAAUGACAGUGUCCAGAGGAAAAGGAGACUUCUUUGAUGUUUCUCAUAGGAUCAAGGUAAUCUUUCCUAGAAGUCUCCAAGUAGAUUUAUCCUUACUUCUCAUUGGUUAGAAUUGGGUUACAUGCCAUUUCUAACUCAGUCCUUGGCAAGAAAAAUGGAUUAUCAUGAUUGGCUAAAAGACAUCAGUCUCCUUUCCUGAGGAUGUGAGUCAUGUGAGAAAAGAACGGAUACUGGGACAAACAGCUGCUCUGCUAGCAAAGGAAGAUCUUUGUAAUAGUGAGCCGUCUCACUGAGGAACAUUCUAUAGCUCCUGCUUAUAGUUUUCUUCAUAUAGAUGACAGCUAUUUAUUAAAUUUGAUUCUAACUGACUCCUUGACUGAACUCUUUGCUUUUCAGUUGAUAUUCACACUAAUUCCAGAUUUAUAAUCAUACAUUCUGGAAAUCAUGAUACAGGUUGAGCAUCCCCCAAAACUGAAGCUUUCUGAGUGCCAACAUGAUGCAUAAAGAAAGUACGCAUUGGAGCAUUUGGAUUUGGGUUUUUGGUUUUGGGAUGCUGGCAGUAUCCAAAGGAAAUAUUCCAAACUCAAAAAAUCUGACAUCUGAAACACUUUUGGUCCUAAACAUUUCAGAUAAGGAAUACUUAACCUGUAAUUGUUUCCUUCCAGAGAGUUAUACUACUGUCUCCCUUCCCCACCCUUUAUAAAAUUACUUCACUGGCUGUACCUUCAGAACAUCAAGCAAUAGUAGUAAUAGGAAACUUAGUCUUAUAUCCAAUUUGGUACCAAAAUAUAUGAAUAGAUUUAUUACUAUUAUUUAUCUAGAGUGGACCAGGCUUGCUUGUAGGUUAAUUGCUUAGUACCUGUGUAGUGCUGGAUAAUAUUUAAUGCUGAUAUGUAACUUUGGUGUUUCUUAUGAGAUCCACAGUAAAUUUCUUAUUGUAUUGUUUGUACUAUUAUGUUUGUAUUAUUUGUUAUCGCAGGAUUGUUAUUAAUGUGAUAAAAUGAAUUGGGAUGCUUUCUGUAUUUUCUAUUCUGAAAUAAGUGUGGGAUAUUGCAUUGGAAUGGUCUGUUCCUUGAAAGUUGCAGAGUCUGUGAUGCCAGAUGGACCAGAACUCCUGAGUUAAUUCUCCGGCAGCUUUUUUCUUCCUUCUUGAUUACUCAUGUAUUUCUUCCAUUUUCUUAAUUUCAAUAUAGGACAGUGCUAAAAACAUGAUAAACAUUAAUAAAUAUCUAUUGAAUAAAUGAACGUAUGGGUGAACAAAUUUUAUAACUUAUUAAUUUCCUAGAAGAAACUUUAAGGAAUUAUAUUUUUAAAGCAUAUUUUACACUACUCUUACGUAUCUGAGAUCAUCUUCCUUUUCUAGAUCCUAAUUUUAUGGAUUUCCUUUUAAAUUAGUAAAAAGAUGUUUCCCAUUGAUUCCUUCCUCCUCCUUUCCUUGAAAGUUUUUAUUUUCAUAUAGUAAAUAAAACAUUUCUAGAAAGUUAUUUUUGAUGACAUAAUAUUUGGUUCCAUGAGUGCUUAAAGUCUGGAGCCUGAGUUCAGAUUCUGGUUCUGCCACUUACUAGCAGUGGACAAGUUAUUUAACUUCUCUGUUCUCAGCUUCCUUAUCAAUAAAAUGAAAACAAUAAUAGAACUUACCUCAUAGAGUUACAAGAAUUAAAUGCUCCAGGACUAUGACCAGUACUCAUUAGGCACUAUUAUAUAAGAGUUUGUGGAAUGUGAUAUAUUUACUAAUCUUAUUUAUUAUAUGAUUUGGCACCUAUAUUUUACUAUUAUCAAUUUACGAAGGACCUUCCUGGCCAUUGUAUUUAUAGUUUCUCCUUGGUUUUUGUUAAUUUUGUUUAUUCAUUCAAAGAGCCAACUUCUGGUUUCAUUAAUUUUCUUUAUUGUCUUUCUAUUUUCCAUUUCACUUAUUUCUACUUUGUCUUUAUUACCUCUCUCCUGUUUGCUUUGGGUUUAUUUUGUUCCCUUUUUUCUGGUCCCUUAGGUGGGAGAUGAGGUUAUUGAUUUAAGGUUUUUCUUCUAACAUAAUUGCCAUUUAUAACUAUAAGCUUUAGCUGCAUCUCAUUAAUUUUGGUAAGUUAUAUUUUCGUGUAUCUCAAGUAUUUUCCAAUUUUGGGGGGGAUUUCUUCUUUGACCCUUUGGAUAUUUAGGAGUAUAUUGAUUAAUUUCCACAUACAGUGAAUUUCUCAAAUUUUCUGUUGAAUCCAGUUUCAUUCCAUUGUGUUCAGAGAACAACUGUGCUUGAUUUUAUUUAUUGAGACUUGUUGUAUGGCCUCACAUAUGGCUUAUCCUGGAGAAUGUUGCAUGUGCAUUUGAGAAGUAUGUGUAUUCUGUUGAAUGGAGUUUUCUAUGAAUGUCUGUUAGGUCUAGUUGGUUUAUAGUGUUAUUCAAGUCUUCUGUGUCCUUACUAAUUUUGUCUAGUUGUUCUAAUUUUUUUUUUUUUUGGGGGGACGGAGUCUUGCUCUGUCACCCACGCUGGAGUGCAGUGGCGUGAUCUCGGCUCACUGCAACCUCCACCUCCCGGGUUCAAGUGAUUCUUGCACUUCAGCCUCCCGAGUAGCUGGGAGUACAGGUGUGCGCCACUGCAUCUGGCUAAUUUUUGUAUUUUUAGUUGAGAUCGGGUUUCACCAUGUUGUCCAGGCUGGUCUCGAACUCCUGACCUCAGGUGAUCCGCCUGCCUCAGCCUCCCAGAGUGCUGGGAUUACAGGCAUGAGCUACUGUGCCCAGCCAGUUUUUUGUAUUUUUAGUAGAGAUGAGGUUUCACCAUGUUGGCCAAGCUGUUCUUGAAUUCCUGACCUCAGGUGAUCCACCUGCCUGAGCCUCCCAAAGUGCUGGGAUUACAGGCAUGAGCCACCAUGCCCGGCCGAUAAAUUUUUUAAAAUCUUCUUUCUUUAUACAUGUUUCUGUGCUCUGUUUAGACAGUCUCAUAUAUAUAUUUAUUUGUUACGAAUUGUCCCUUCAUCAGGAAAAUGAUUCCUUUUUCCCUAUUUAAGGUAUUUGUUACGAAUUCUAGUUUUAUAUUAUCUACUAUAUCUUACCCUUAAACUUUUCUGAGUCAUUUUCAGUGUAUCUUUUAUAGAAGGCUAUGGUUGGAAUUUUUUUAAAACCUGAGUAUCAUUGUCUUCUGAUACAGAAUCUGAAAACCUUUUAAAAAUUAGUGAGGCGAAAAAAAUUAGCCAGGCAUGGUGACGGGUGCCUGUAGUCCCAGCUACUUGGGAGGCUGAGGCAGGAGAAUGUCAUGAACCCAGAAGCCAGAGCUUGCAGUGAGCCGAGAUCACGCCACUGCACUCCAGCCUGGGCGACAGAGUGAGACUCCGGCUCAAAAAAAAAAAAGAGUAUUCAGGCUGGGUGCAGUGGCUCACGCCUGUAAUCCCAGCACUUUGGGAGGCUGAGGCAGGUGGAUCGCCUGAGGUCAGGAGUUCAAGACCAGCCUGGCCAACAUAGUGAAACCCCGUCUCUACUAAAAAUACAAAAAAUGAGCUGGGUGUGGUGGCGGGUGCCUGUAACCUCAGCUACUCGGGAGGCUGAAGCAGGAGAAUCGCAUGAACCUGGGAGGCGGAGGUUGCAGUGAGCCGAGAUCACGCCAUUGCACUCCAGCCUGGUUAAGAAGAGCGAAACUCCGUCUCAAACAACAAAACAAAACAAAUUAGUAUUGAAAGGGAUAAUUGGUCUAAUUAUUGCAUUUUAAAAAGUGCUUUCCAUUUUUAAUUCCUUUGUUUUCAGUUCCUCUUACAGGAACUUUUCCCUCUCUGAUCUGUAUUUGUAUUUUGUAGGGAAGGUAUAUGUAUAUAUGAUUUUCAGUUGUAUAAGGAGUAACCUAAACAUUUCUUAAAGACAGUUGACUCAGAGGAAAAAAAAUUUUUUUCAGUUUCUUCUCUAAAAUGAGAUGAGUACAUUUUAACAUUAUCCUUUUUUCCCUUUUCCUCACUUGUUUUUUCUCUGUGAUCUGGAAUUUUAGACUUAGUGGAAUUUAUUGCAGAGGAGAAUUCUAAAGCCUGCAUAUUUGCCUUGUUUUUUAAAUAGUCUAUUUUCUCCUGCUUAGAUGCUUUGCUGGACUCAGAAGUUAAAUGAGCAUAAGGUUAGGGAGUUGUCUGUUUAUGAAGCUUGCUUAGUCCCUGGUGAACCUUCAUUUUUAGCAUCCAGUUCUCAGGAGCUUCUGUAGUCUAUUCUGGCUCAAUGCUUCUGUCCCACAUGCUCUGGCCUCUUACUCUGGAAUGUCAUUUACCUGUAUGUUGACCUCUCUUCUCUAUCCUUCACAUUAUCCCCUCUUCCAUCAGUUUUCUCAUGUAUAUUUUGGGAGUUUUUUCAGUUGAUAUUCCACAUUACCAAUUUAUUAUUAAGAAAAGUCAGUUCUGUGCUUUUCUUUUGAUUUGUUUUUUGUUUUUUGAGAUAGGGUCUCACUGUGUCGCCCAGGCUGGAGUGCAGUGGUGCAGUCAUGGCUCACUGCAGCCUCAACCUCCCAGGCUCAACUGAUCCUCCUACCUCAGCCUCCCAAGUAGCUGAGACUGCAUGCUCAUGUCACCAUGCCUGGCUAAUUUCUGGAUUUUUCAUAGAGGCGGAGUUUCACCAUCUUGCCCAGGCUGGUCUUGAACUUCUGAGCUAAAGCAAUCUACCUGCCUUGACCUCCCAAAAUGCUGGCAUUACAGGCAUGAGGCAUCACGCCUGGCUGCCCUCUGAUGUAAUUUUUUAAAAUUAGAUUUCAAACAAAAGUAAAGUUUUGAGGACUUACCAAAUAUCUGUGUACUUUCAGCCUUGGCCAGAUUUCAAUAUUUUACCAUAUUUGCUUUAUAAUUUUUUUUUUUUUUUUUUGAUAUUUAAACCCCUGUAUACCCUUCCCUCCCUGCCUAGGGGUAGCUACUAUCCUGAGUUUGGUUUUGUUUGCCUACUUAUUGCACUUGUAUAUAUCAAUAAACAAUAUAUUGCUGGGUACAGUGGCUCACACCUGUAAUCCCAGCACUUUGAGAAGCUGAGACAGGUGGAUCACCUGAGGUUAGGAGUUCAAGACCAGCCUGGCCAACAUGGCGAAACCUUGUCUCUACUAAAAAUACAAAAAUUAGCCCAACAUGGUGGCGGGCGCCUGUAAUCCCCGCUACUCAGGAGGCUGAGGCAGGAGAAUCGCUUGAACCUGAGGCAGAGAUUGCAGUGAGCCGAGAUCGUGCCACUGCACUCCAGCCUGGGUGACAGAGUGAAGACUCCGUCUCCAAAACAAAAAAACAAUAUACAAUAGGGCUAAUAUGUUUUUAAACUUAAUAUGAAUGGUAUCAUACUGUACAAUUGGUUUUGUAGUUUGCUUUUGUCACUCAAUAUUAUGUUGAUGAGAUUUAUUGGGCUGCUGUUUAAAGCAGUUUUCUUAGCACAGAGGCCCUGUUUGCUUGCCAAACUGCAUGUCUGCUGGGUUGCGUCUGUCUUUAAAGGGUGACUUCCUCUAAUUAAUCCACUGGGGUGAGGGAUAAGUUGAACCUUUUUUCUGUUCACAAGUGUGGAUACAAGCUAAAGGUGGCCCUGUGUGGUUCCCUCACUACAACCAUGGUAUAGUAGUCCAUUGUAGAAAUAUACCACAGUUCUAUUGAUGGACCUGUUGGGUUAUUCUAUAUGUUUUGCUGUUAAAAGUCAUACUUCACUGAACAUUCUUGGACUUGCAUCUUGUGCACACCUGGAAUAUUACAUAAAAGUGGAGUUGCCGGGGUGCAUAUACCAAAUUGCUUAUCAGGGUGGGUGUAGUGGCUCACACCUGUAAUCCCAGCAUUUUGGGAGGCUAAGGCAGGCAGAUCAUUUGAGGUCAGGAGUGGGAGACCAGUCUGGCCAAUAUGGUGAAACCCCAUCGCUACUUAAAAAAAAAAAAAAAAAAGCCAGGCAUGCUGGUGGGUACCUGUAAUCCCGAGGCAUGCGAAUCGCUUAAACCCAGGAAGGCAGAGGUUGUAAUGAGCUGAGAUCAAGCCACUGCAAGACUCUGUCUCAAAAACAACAACAAAAACCAAAUUGCUGAUCAAAGUGGUUUUACCAGUUUACAUUUUGACUAGCAGUAUAUUAGUGUUCAUGAUGUUCUCUGUAUAUCUUUAUCAGAUUUUUUUGAUAAUCUGCUGGGUUUGAAAAGGAAUUUCAUUGUGGCUUCACUAUGUGUUUCUGAUUACUGUAUUUAUCGGUUAUUCAGAUUACCUGCUAUGAAAAUUAUUUCUUCAUAUCUUUUGCUUAUAUUUUUGAGGGGUUGUCUUUUUCUUAACGAUUUGUAAGAGUUCCUUAUGUAUUCGAUCAUUUUGUAUUUUUGUGGGUUACGUAUCUCUUUGUAGCUUGUCUUUUCACAUUAGGGCAUUUGAUGUAGAUUAAAAAUUUGUAUAUUAACCGAAUCUUGAUAUUUAUCUUCAUAGUUUGUGCUUAUGUCUUGAUUUGUAAUGACAUCUCUAUAUUGGGUUUUCAUAGAUUCAUGGGGUGCUAAUGUUUAAAUCUGUAAUUAUAACUAUUUUUAGUUUCAUUAUAAUUUUUCCCUAUUUAAUUCAGUACUUUAUUUCCCCCACUACCCCCCACCCCCCAAGAGACAAGGUCUUCCUUUGUUGGCCAGGCUGAAGUGAGUGCAGUGACACGAUCACAGCUCACUGCAACCUUAAACUCCUGAUAUCAAGUGAUCCUCCCACCUCAGCCUCCAGAAGAAUUAGGAGUACAGGCACGUGCCACCAUGUCUGGCUUAUAUAUAUUUUUUGGGGGUGGUGGGGGAGAGUAGAGAUGAGGUUUUGCUAUGUUGUCCAGGCUGGUCUCGACCUCUUGGGCUGAAGUGGUCCUCCUGCCUCAGCCUCCCAAAGUACAGGAUUGCAGGUGUGAGCCACCAUGCCUAGCCCUUUUAUAAUUCCUUCUAUUUGUUCAUUCAUUCAACAAUUCAGUCAGAAAUACUGAGUGCCCAUUACACGCUAGAUAUGCUGCUAGGUGCCGAGAUACAGAUAUAAAUAAAAGAAAGUUGGCUGGGCACAGUGGCUCACACCUGUAAUCCCAGCACUUUGGGAGGCCGAGGCGGGCAGAUCAUGAGGUCAGGAGUUCAAGACCAGCCUGGCGAAUAUUGUGAAACCCCGUCUCUAAUAAAAAUACAAAAAAAAAUUAGCUGGGCGUGGUGGCGCACCUGUAGUCCCAGCUACUCGGGAGGCUGAGGCAGAAGAAUCACUUGAACUCAGGAGGCGGAGGUUGCAGUGAGCCGAGAUUUUGCAACUGCACUGCAGCCUGGGCGACAGAGUGAGACUUCCGUCUCAAAAAAAGAAAAAACAAAAAAACGAAGUCACCGCCUCAUGGAGCUACAUUUCUGGUGGGGGAAAGAUGCAUAGUAAGCACUACCCAGUAAGUUGGUGUGUCCAAAGUGCUAUGUAGAUAUUUAUGAAGGAAUAUUUAUACCAGGAAUAUGUUGGGGCAGUAUGGUGUCUUAUAGAGGGGGUAGGGAAGGCCUUGUUAGUAUGAAACCUGGUGAAUGGGAGAGAAUAGGCCAAGUGGCUAUUUGUGAGGGAAAAAAAUUACAGACAAAGGGCAAUUACAGGUACAAGACUCUGAGGUGGUGUAUGCUGCUUGAUUUACUGGAAGUAAGGAGUUAGAAUUACUGGAGUUGUCUGAUUUUCUAAAAUUUUGGGGGAUGAGGCCUGCUUUUUUACUGUCUGCUGAUUCUCAUUUAUGAUGAAUUGUCAUGUUUACUAAUCUUGGAUUAUACAUUCAUCUUCAGCAAGGUUUUAGCUAUACAGUGAGAUUCCAGAAUAGUUUUGUGUCUUCCAGGCACUCAGCUCCUGGCCGAAGUGGAUGCUACAAAUUUAGACAUCAAAUUUACAGGGUAGUCAUUUUUCUCCUCUAGAUUCCAGACUUGGCCAUUCAAGGCUCCUUGUUGUCUCCCUGUGCCUGUGGUCGGGGGGUUAAGGGGAGUGUAGGUUGGAGUGGUGCAAUUUUUUUCACAUACAUGCUUUUCCUGGGGUUGUGGUCCUAAUGGUAAUCAUCCUGGUUUUAUGCAUUGGCUUCAGAUCUCAUUUUGUUUAGUACACAUCAACAGCUUUAAUUCCUGGAUUACAGAGACACUCAAGCUACAACAAAAACCGGGCUUCUGCUGUGUCAACUCACAGACUCUCCACUUUGGGUUUUAGCUUACUCCUAAUUUCUGGCUCUUGGGAGCUCAGCUGUGCAGGGAAAGGAUGUGUGUUAUAGUUUAUCUAAGGUUUCCAGGUGUUUGAAGCAGAUGGGUUUCAUCUAUAGUGUAGGGUUAGAUUCUGCUUUAUUCCCUCCACUAAAACCAUUAACACUAAUCAGAAAGUGCUAAUCAGUUGAUUAACAAGGGAUUUAGUUUAGCAGAAAUUUCAGGAUAUUCUUGGAAUUUGGGCAACAAAUAUCUCUAGUUUCAAAGACCCUUGUAGACUUUCCUAUAUUGCUAUUGAUGGUGAGGGGGUAGGGGAGAGUUAGAGGCCUAUGCUCAAGUUUUCUUAAAUUAGAGAUGCUCUUUUGCUAUUGUUACAAAUGCAUAUAAUUGCUCCAGUACUUUAUCAAAUUCCCUUUAGUCUAUAUUUAUGUAAACCUAGUUUGAUAUACUGAACCAUUCUUUUAUUCCUGGAAUAAAUGCUGUUUGGUCAUCUUAAUACAUCUGAUUAUUCCAUUUGGUAAUAUUUUGAGUAAAAAAUUCUAUAGUGAAUCCUGUUUGCUUCAUGGACUGAGUAUAGUAGCAUAUCUUUUUCUGUGACUAGAAGUUAUUUAUGAAAGAGAAUCAUUUAUGUUUGAAGAAGUAAAUAUGCCUCAGUUUCAAAUGGUCCUUUAGGGGCUCUGUAUAAAUGAUUCCAAUAUAUUUCUCAGUUGUUAUUAAAGUACUUGAUUUUUUUCUUGUCUUUUAGCAAUUUUUAUAUUAAUAUUUCAAAGAACCAUGUUUAAGUAAAUUACUAGCAAAGGAACUCUUUGGGGGAACUUUACGAAAUUUUCUCUUGGCAGUUGCUAAAAGUUUUCUUACGUUUUCUAAAAGUUCAGUAAUAGUACAUUUAUCUUUAGAAAAGUUUGCUUUUCAGAAAGUGUUUCCAUUUUUCUUGUGGUCAGAAUGUGCUGUGAAUUUUAAAUGUAUUUUUAAGAUAUUAUAGCUAAAUUGUACCUCA